GCAAAUGAACAAACACACUUUAAUAUCAAACUUAUACAAUCUCAUAUGGAAUAUGGGUUCAUUGGACCUUUAUUCUCCAACCUCUAAAACAUGAAAACGCCGGAAAGAAUUAAGAGUUUAAAAAUGGUUACCUUAAAAUCCCCAGUUCUGCUCUUCCAAAAUGGUUGCUCAACUUGCUUCUGAGGCAAUAAGUAAGGGUUCUGGUUUGAUUCCUGCAGUUAAUUUCUCAUCAGUAUCAUGUGAUCCUUU
rnacentral:misc_RNA from 1 species